UACGAAGGGGGGCAAGCGUUUGUUCGGAAUUACUGGGCGUAAAGAGCUCGUAGGCGGUCUGUCGCGUCGGCUGUGAAAACUCGGGGCUCAACCCCGAGCCUGCAGUCGAUACGGGCAGACUAGAGUGCGGUAGGGGAGACUGGAAUUCCUGGUGUAGCGGUGAAAUGCGCAGAGUAUCAGGAGGAACACCGGUGGCGAAGGCGGGUCUCUGGGCCGUAACUGACGCUGAGGCACGAAAGCGUGGGUAGCAAACAGG
rnacentral:rRNA from 1 species